UCCAUAAUUAAUUCUCCCUUGAAAGUCAGGCUAGAGAGUCCAAGGGACCUCCUCUAGCCACCUUCCAGCACACUACCUCAUUCUUUCAUAUUCCAUUUUCAUCUGCUAGGGUUUCGUCCCAAGCUUAUUCUCCUCACAGAUCCACAACGCCUCCAACAUGGUAAGCUUCGUUUCUCCUCCGUUUCACCAUUUCCAACCAUUUCUACCGAUUGUUUCCUUGUCUAAACACCUUUCCACCGUUUUGUUUUCCAAAAUCCACCGAUUAAAACAUCUUUUGAAUCGAACCAUACCUUUUCCACCAUUUAAACUUCGAUUCUCACUGUUUAAUCGGUUUGUUUCGAGUUUCCUUCACCAUUUUAGGGUUCACUCGUGUUUCUAGGGUUUUGUACGGUUCAAACCCAAGUUUCUCCAGUUCUCCAUCUUCUUCUCAUAUUUCGUUGCGUAUUCUUCGUCGGAGAAGCCUCGCCGGAGUUGAAUCGCGCCUUCGGUCAACUUCUCUCGGAGCGUCUUGCAUCAUGUGGUAAUCAGAGCACAGGUUGCGUCCAUGCGACAAAGAUAAGUAUUUCGAGCUCUGUUUUUGGUUUCCUCUUUCUUGGUUUGAUCUUGUUUCGAAUCUGUAUUGUGUUGAUUCGCGUUGAUAUGUUGAUUCUUUUUCAAUUUGAUUCGCGUCUCUGACUCUGUGUUAGUUUUGUGUUUUGUUUCAUCUGAAUCUGACUUGCUAUGUCUUGUUUUGUUUGAUUCUGAGUUUCCUUCAGUUUCUGAGUUGUGUUAAUUUUUGUUCAUUCUCGCGUUGUUCAUCAUUGCUUCACUGUCUUGUGUGACUUGAUCUGUGUUUGUUGUGCCUUUGCGUUUUUGAUUUGAGUCUUAUUCUCAUCUUUAUUCGGUGAAUCAUUUGCUUUGAAUCAUUUUAUUUUCUAAAUCAAUUUCUGUAAUGUCUUAGUCACGUUGUUUGUUUGACUUGUCAUAUGAAUCUGAGUUUAACCUUUGUAAUUGUCAAGUCAUGAGUUAAGUUUGGUCUCUGAUGUUAAUCAUUAAGAGUCGUGACAUUCAAUUGAAUGAGCUCAAUUCCUGUGGCAACAUUGAAUGAAGUAACAUGUUUCUUGAAUCUGUUUAAUCAGUUUCACCGAUACUGAAUGUGCUUUGAGAGUUUUGGUGUCAUUCAUACUUGGUUUUAGAAUCUUUGCCAAGUUCUGGUUCAAUUUUUCCAGUAUAGUUAUUGAUAUUGUCUCUUUGACAUCUACUGUGGUCUGAGAUUCUGCAGAAUUGCAUUGAAAUUGAUUGCAACAUUGUUUAAACUUGUUUUUGAACUUCUGAAAGUGGUUAAUAUAGUGUGCAUUCUGAGCAUAUACAUUGACAACAAUUCUGCAGUUGAGUGUGUAUUUUGUUGGUCACUCAAGGAAGCCUGAGCCAGUGGUCUUUGAAACUAUAAUUGUGGCUAAGAGUGAUUAAUUUCUUAUUUUCCUUUGGAUUUUUUCUGAGUUGAACCAUGUUUAAUUUCCUUUGGCAAAAAAUUUGAUUAAGUUGAAAAGUUGAUUAGGUGAUCUGUUGAGAAUUGUGACUGAAAAUAGCAAGUUCUAAAGUGUCAUCCAAAUCAGAUUGGGCUAUCAAAUUGUGAUUAAAAAAAAAUCAAAGAGAACUGGUGCAAUUCACAAUAGUAUGCACUGUUUCAGUGAAAUAUCUCUGCCAAAAUCAGAUAUACUUUUUUUCAUUCAUAACUGGUUCAACUUAAAUCAUUUUCUUGUGUUUUAAUCUGUUCUAGAGCUAUUCAUAGGUUCUGUUUGAGUGCCAGCUGUUCUAAAUAGCUUGUUUUUUUAUUUGCUUGUCUUCUUGGCUGUCUUGGUUGUGUCUACAUCAAGUAAACUCUGAUUUGUUGUUCAUAAUUAAAGCUUUUUCUUGCUUUUGUAAUUUGGUCUAGUGUUGUUUUGAGUCUGUUGUUCUGUGGUGCUGUCAUUUCUGUGCUUUAGUAGUUGUCCUGUUUGGUUCUGUCCAUUAUUUUGAUCUUUGCUUAGCCAUUUCCUUUCAUGACUGAGAAGCACUUUCACUCUGGUUUUUUUGGAAUUUUGAAAGAAGGUUUGUGUGCUUGGUAGCAUCUUAGGUGGUGGUAGUCUAAAAGACUCUCCAACUUUAAACUGCCAAGGGAGAAUUUUUCCCUUCCAAACCCUCAUUUGUGUGCUUUAAAAGUUUUUAAGAGAAGCCUUGAAUGAUGUGAGUUUUGUGAGGCUAUUUUAGCCUAAGUUGUUUGGCAAUUCGAGAGAUAACUCAGUUUUUUUCUUGCUCACUAUUUUGUGAUUGUUCAUUGUGCAGGAAAAGAAAUUGGAUCAAACAGGAGCAACUGUGUUUGGAAUUCAUCUUAAUCUGCUUUUGCAUUCAUCUUGAAAUUUAAAUUGUUUACUAGGUUACUGGUAACAUAACUGAUUGAAUGUGAUAGUUGAUUUCAUGGAUUAAGUUUGUUAAUGACUGAUUUUGGGUUCAUAAGAUCUGUUGAACUUGGUAGAUGAACUAGGAAGUGGCAAUAUUGUUCUGAUUGAGUUGAGUUCUUUUCAGCUUGUGCUUCAACACUGUUUUAAAUUGCCAAUUCCUAAUUUCAUGCGUACAUUAGUUGACUUGUUCCUACUGGGUUUUUUUGAAAGUUGUUACUACACAUACUACUGCACAUUAUAUUGCAUUGAAAUGAUUAGAUUUUGAUUAGUUCAGGACUGGUGGAUUAAGCAGUUUAACAUCAGUUUGAAUUCCAUAUAUUUUGAAUCUGGGUUAAAGUCCAAUUGCAUUUGUAUUUGUUGGAAUCUGGUGUGAUGUUGUGUGUGUAGAACUGAUAUGUGUGGGAGUCUAGAUUGAGUUUGACGCUUUGAGUCAGUUUCUUUGAUUGGAACCCAAUUUGUGCAGUUCUGAAUUGAAUGUAGUCUUCUACCCUAACUUGCUUCUAUUUUGCAUAAAGUACUUGUGUUAGGACUUGUACUUUGUUAGGAUUAAAAUUGUUUACUUGUGCAGUAUCAUUUCGAAGUAACUAACUGAGAGCAAAAGAACUUUCUUCACCUGCGUCAAAUACAGCUCGUUCCAGUUUGUGAGAAAGGGAGGAAUUUUUAUCUUGUGAAUUGUGUUCUGUUAGUCUGUUAGCCAAGAGAAAUAUUAAGCUUUAUGCUAUAUGUGUGCAGGAUGGGAAAAUCAGAACUAAAGGGAAUGAAAUCCAAAGGUUAGAAAAGUUCCAAAACUACCAGAAACAACAGAAACAACAAGGGGGUACGUGAAUUGUUGCACCAUGAUUUUUGCAUCAGAAGUGGACCGUAACUGAAUUAGGACCUUAGCAGCAAGAUUUGGGCCGUAGCAUAGGAAUGAAUUUUUCUGUAAUUUUUUAUUUUAUUUUUCUGUGUAUUUGAUGGGCUUGUGUCAGCCCAAUGUCACUGUUAGUUUUUAUUUUUCUGGUUUGUAAAGGGCCUUUUAUAAAGUCCAAGUUUGGAAGAGUCCUUGGUGCUCUUUCCAUUCUUGGCAACCUUUCUUGAUUGCUUUAUUUUAAUUUUAGCUAGACAUAGGAGUAGAAUUUGAAUGUCUUUGCAUGUGUUUGAUUUUCACGUGUAGGUGUGACCUUUGUCACAUUAGAGUCCGAACGAAUUAGGGGUCUUAGAGUCCGUUUUCAUUGUUUGUUUCUUUUGAUUCUUGUACUUUGAUUUCAAAAAUGUCUUGUUAUUCAUCUGGGAUGUCUAGUUCAUACAUUAAGGAUGAUUUGUGUACUAAAGCUAGAAAAAUUCCCUUCUUUGGUAAAGAUACAAAUGUCUUAACAUAUCUAGUUUGGGAAAAAGAAAUUAAUCAAAUGCAUCCUGUCCUUAUUAGGCAAAGUGAACUUGAGUCUUAUAGUACAAUUGUUCUUUCUAGAGAGUGUGAAUCUCGAGCUCUUAGUUUAUAUCUCUCUAGAUUAGAAAAGCAUGCACUAGAGUGGUGGGAUGAAAGACAAUAUUGGGUUCAUCAAGGUAGAAAAUCCACCAUUGAAAAUUGGUAUGAAUUGAGAUCGUGCAUGAGAAGAAAGUUUGUGCCUCCAAAUAUUCAAAGUAACUUAGAACAUAUGAGAGAGCUUAUUAGAGAAGGCAAGUUGUUCAUUCAAAAUUUAAGUGGAUUCAAUCGGUAAAAAUGGACGAAGAUGAUGAAUGAAGGUUUUUAAUCAGUAGAAAACCUAGCAAAAUGGAGGAGAAGGAUGGAUCUAUGAAGAACUUGACAAAACUUGCGAGGAGCUGUCGAGAGAGAAUGCCUCUCGAACAGGAAGAUGCGUAGGGUGAAAUGGCUUCAGGAAUAUGUAUCUGAGGUGCUGACGAUGUACGAAGAAGUGACUCUGCUGACGCGUGCCACCAAGCUGAAGUGGAGUGGUGGAAAACGACGUCGUGGAGGAGAGAAAAUGGAAGCACAGUGAGAAAUUAAUGGAAAAUGAAAAUAAAGGUUGUGUGCCUUGGAAGGAGGCUAGAGGUCUUUGGACUCUCUAGCCAAGGAUUCAAUCGUAGGGAAAUAGAGUUUAGAGAAAAACUCAUGAAGUUCUUGAAUGAGGGAAGUAAAAGGAGAUUUGAGAGAGAACAUAGGCAAUUACAAGAAAGAAUAGAGAGACAAGAGAGAAGAAAAAAGAGAAAACGGGAAGAAGAAAGGCAAAGACAAAGAGAGAGAAAGAGAUAACAAGAGAGAAAAGAAGGGGAAGAAAGAAGAGAGCAGGAAGAGAGACUACAAAAGAAAGAGAAGGAAGAAAUUGAAAGGAAGGAAAGGGAAGAAAAGAAAUUGAUGACAACAUAUCCUAAUCUAAAACCCAAAAGGGGAGGUUUUCUAUCUUUUCACUUUCCAAUUGUUAUUGAAUGCUUUAAUUCUACCUUUUCUUUCCAAGAAUUUGCCAUUAAACCUUUUCAAAAGUUGCAAUCUUUAACACAUGGCAAUCAAAGACUUGAGUUAGAGAUAUCUUUAUCACUAAUUCAAGACAAAAAUAUAUUUUCAAAUAGAGUAAGGUUUCUUUUUAGUCAUAAACUUGAAAAUUUCAAAGUUAGGAAACCUUCUUCUAAACAUAUUUCUUUAUACAUCUUAUUGGGUCAAAUAAAACUAAUUAGAGAUAUGUUUGAUGCUUAUUGCAGAUUAAUAUUUGAUCCAGGAGGAACUUCCAUGGCGAUUACAACAAUAAGUCCUCAGGCGAACCAUCAGAUUUGAGGACAAAUCCUUUCCAAGAGGGAGGGGAUGAUACGCGGGGCCCAAGCCCAAUGUCUUUAGUGUAGUCUUUCUUUUACUUGUAAUAGACAUGUGUACAAUGUGUUAGGCAUGUGGUACAUUUAGGCCUAUAUAUAGGCAUGCUAACACAUCUUGUAAUCACUUUUGAGCUGAAUGAGAAUUAGAUUUCUGAAGUCCAGAAUUAAUUCUCCCUUGAAAGUCAGGCUAGAGAGUCCAAGGGACCUCCUCUAGCCACCUUCCAACACACUACCUCAUUCUUUCAUUUUCCAUUUUUACCAUUGUGCUUUCUCUCUCAUAACAUUACAUCCAAUCUUCCAUAGCCACAUCACGCACACGCGUCAGUGCUUGAAUUCGCGUCAUCACCAUGUCCUCUUCAACUCUCGCAGACACAUCACUCUGUCAUUUCAUUGCUCACAAUUACUUCAUCUGCUAGGGUUUCGUCCCAAGCUUAUUCUCCUCACAGAUCCACAACGCCUCCAACAUGGUAAGCUUCGUUUCUCCUCCGUUUCACCAUUUCCAACCAUUUCUACCGAUUGAUUCCUUGUCUAAACACCUUUCCACCG
rnacentral:lncRNA from 1 species